UUCCUUCGAGAAGGAACGUUACAAUACUUAGAACUUGAGCUGCCAAACUGUCUUUCAUUGGUUGUCUUCGUCAAUCGAUAUGUGAGCUGCGGAGACGGUUUGCCAGCGCAAUUUCUCACGAGCUUCAGCAUAUGACAAGGAUCCAUGAAAACGACAACAACUUCACCUGUUUCAGGGUGCUGGAAAGUUGUCUUCAAAUUUUGGGGGUCACUGAAGUUGCACCCAAGCUGUCUAAACAUUGCGAAGUUUGAUGGUGCCCCAUCACAAGUUAAGGAGACAACAGUCGCUCCCACUUCAUGGGCAAGGACAAGACUGCGUUGUACUAGGUCAGCCCUUUGUUCACCGCCAAGUCCAUCAACAAGAAAAUAGCCCAACGGGACCUUCCACCUUCCAUUAAUAGCCACUGCCAUUAUCACAAAUGCUGCCUUAGCCAUUGUGCAUUCAGAGCUUCUUUUGAGAACCCUGGCCUGCCAUCAACUGAUUGGUACCAUUUGCUCAAUGUUUUUGGAUGAUGCAGGCAGGUGUCGAAUACACUCCGCACAUAGUUAUAGGCCCGAGGUGAACAAAAAUGUAAAGUCAAUGCAAAUGCUCGCAGCUGAGCACCAAGGCUCUCCAAAACUGCAACAUUCUCCUCGAGCAGGAUCUUCUGUCUUGUUAAAUCCUUAAUCACACCUUUCA